rnacentral:rRNA from 1 species
CCUACGGGGGGCAGCAGUGAGGAAUAUUGGUCAAUGGACGAGAGUCUGAACCAGCCAAGUAGCGUGAAGGAUGACUGCCCUAUGGGUUGUAAACUUCUUUUAUAUGGGAAUAAAAUGUUCCACGUGUGGGAUUUUGUAUGUACCAUAUGAAUAAGGAUCGGCUAACUCCGUGCCAGCAGCCGCGGUAAUACGGAGGAUCCGAGCGUUAUCCGGAUUUAUUGGGUUUAAAGGGAGCGUAGGUGGAUUGUUAAGUCAGUUGUGAAAGUUUGCGGCUCAACCGUAAAAUUGCAGUUGAAACUGGCAGUCUUGAGUACAGUAGAGGUGGGCGGAAUUCGUGGUGUAGCGGUGAAAUGCUUAGAUAUCACGAAGAACUCCGAUUGCGAAGGCAGCUCACUGGACUGCAACUGACACUGAGGCUCGAAAGCGUGGGGAGCAAACAGGAUUAGAUACCCCUGUAGUC